CAGGGCCUAGCACAUGCAAGUCGAGCGAGAAAGGGGAAACCCAAUAAAGCGGCGCACGGGUGCGUAACGCGUGGGAAUCUGCCCUUAGGUUCGGGAUAACCAUUGGAAACGAUGGCUAAUACCGGAUGAUAUCGCGAGAUCAAAGAUUUAUCGCCUGAGGAUGAGCCCGCGUAGGAUUAGCUAGUUGGUGGGGUAAAGGCCUACCAAGGCGACGAUCCUUAGCUGGUCUGAGAGGAUGAUCAGCCACACUGGGACUGAGACACGGCCCAGACUCCUACGGGAGGCAGCAGUGGGGAAUAUUGGACAAUGGGCGAAAGCCUGAUCCAGCAAUGCCGCGUGAGUGAUGAAGGCCUUAGGGUUGUAAAGCUCUUUUACCCGGGAUGAUAAUGACAGUACCGGGAGGAUAAGCUCCGGCUAACUCCGUGCCAGCAGCCGCGGUAAU
rnacentral:rRNA from 1 species